AACGUAGGAGGCGAGCGUUAUCCGGAUUUACUGGGUGUAAAGCGCGUGCAGGCGGUUGGAUAAGUUGGGUGUGAAAGCUCCUGGCUCAACUGGGAGAGGUUGCUCAAGACUGUUCGACUAGAGCGUGGUAGGGGAAGGCGGAAUUCCGGGUGUAGUGGUGAAAUGCGUAGAUAUCCGGAGGAACACCAGUGGCGAAAGCGGCCUUCUAGACCAUGACUGACGCUCAGACGCGAAAGCUAGGGGAGCAAACGGG
rnacentral:rRNA from 1 species